rnacentral:rRNA from 1 species
AUUGAACGCUGGCGGCAGGCCUAACACAUGCAAGUCGAGCGGUAGCACAGAGAGCUUGCUCUCGGGUGACGAGCGGCGGACGGGUGAGUAAUGUCUGGGAAACUGCCUGAUGGAGGGGGAUAACUACUGGAAACGGUAGCUAAUACCGCAUAACGUCGUAAGACCAAAGUGGGGGACCUUCGGGCCUCAUGCCAUCAGAUGUGCCCAGAUGGGAUUAGCUAGUAGGUGGGGUAACGGCUCACCUAGGCGACGAUCCCUAGCUGGUCUGAGAGGAUGACCAGCCACACUGGAACUGAGACACGGUCCAGACUCCUACGGGAGGCAGCAGUGGAGAAUAUUGCACAAUGGGCGCAAGCCUGAUGCAGCCAUGCCGCGUGUGUGAAGAAGGCCUUCGGGUUGUAAAGCACUUUCAGCGGGGAGGAAGGCGGUGAAGGUUAAUAACCUCACCGAUUGACGUUACCCGCAGAAGAAGCACCGGCUAACUCCGUGCCAGCAGCCGCGGUAAUACGGAGGGUGCAAGCGUUAAUCGGAAUUACUGGGCGUAAAGCGCACGCAGGCGGUCUGUCAAGUCGGAUGUGAAAUCCCCGGGCUCAACCUGGGAACUGCAUUCGAAACUGGCAGGCUAGAGUCUUGUAGAGGGGGGUAGAAUUCCAGGUGUAGCGGUGAAAUGCGUAGAGAUCUGGAGGAAUACCGGUGGCGAAGGCGGCCCCCUGGACAAAGACUGACGCUCAGGUGCGAAAGCGUGGGGAGCAAACAGGAUUAGAUACCCUGGUAGUCCACGCUGUAAACGAUGUCGAUUUGGAGGUUGUGCCCUUGAGGCGUGGCUUCCGGAGCUAACGCGUUAAAUCGACCGCCUGGGGAGUACGGCCGCAAGGUUAAAACUCAAAUGAAUUGACGGGGGCCCGCACAAGCGGUGGAGCAUGUGGUUUAAUUCGAUGCAACGCGAAGAACCUUACCUGGUCUUGACAUCCACAGAACUUUCCAGAGAUGGAUUGGUGCCUUCGGGAACUGUGAGACAGGUGCUGCAUGGCUGUCGUCAGCUCGUGUUGUGAAAUGUUGGGUUAAGUCCCGCAACGAGCGCAACCCUUAUCCUUUGUUGCCAGCGGUUAGGCCGGGAACUCAAAGGAGACUGCCAGUGAUAAACUGGAGGAAGGUGGGGAUGACGUCAAGUCAUCAUGGCCCUUACGACCAGGGCUACACACGUGCUACAAUGGCAUAUACAAAGAGAAGCGACCUCGCGAGAGCAAGCGGACCUCAUAAAGUAUGUCGUAGUCCGGAUUGGAGUCUGCAACUCGACUCCAUGAAGUCGGAAUCGCUAGUAAUCGUAGAUCAGAAUGCUACGGUGAAAUACGUUCCCGGGCCU